rnacentral:rRNA from 1 species
GACGAACGCUGGCGGCGUGCUUAACACAUGCAAGUCGAACGGAAAGGCCCUGCUCUUGUGGGGUGCUCGAGUGGCGAACGGGUGAGUAACACGUGAGUAACCUGCCCUUGACUUUGGGAUAACUUCAGGAAACUGGGGCUAAUACCGGAUAGGAGCUCCUGCUGCAUGGUGGGGGUUGGAAAGUUUUGGCGGUUGGGGAUGGACUCGCGGCUUAUCGGCUUGUUGGUGGGGUAGUGGCUUCCCAAGGGUUUGACGGGUAGCCGGCCUGAGAGGCUGACCGGCCACAUUGGGACUGAGAUACGGCCCAGACUCGUACGGGAGGCAGAAGUGGGGAAUAUUGCACAAUGGGCGGAAGCCUGAUGCGGCAACGCCGCGUGCGGGAUGACGGCCUUCGGGUUGUAAACCGCUUUCGCCUGUGACGAAGCGUGAGUGACGGUAAUGGGUAAAGAAGCACCGGCUAACUACGUG